AUGAAUAACCUUUUAAAAGACAUGCUGCAUCACCAGUGGAGUUUGACAAAUGCUUCUAAUUACUUAAUGCAUUACAUAGAAGUCCGAAAAUCUUAUCUUCGAAUGUCAAGAACAAAAUCAGGAGAAAUUCACACAUUAAUGUUUGCACCAAGAGGCACUGAGAAGAAAGAGGGCUACCAUGGGGGAGGUUUGGGUUUUCUCCCACUUCUAGAGAAGAUGUGGCUGAGUGGAUCCGUGGACCCGAAGAUUCCUUGGGGUGGUGCAGUAGGAGAGAGCUUUGUGGAUCUUGCUGCCUAAAAGCAGAGGGGUCCGGGGCAGCGGCCACCAAGGGACUAAAAGACCAUUAGCAUCAGCAGCAUGUGUCCACAGAGACGUGGCCACGUGACAGACUCUCGCCUGCCCCUGAUGCCAUGAUCCUAGCUGAGCAUGGUUAAACUCACUGCCUGGAAUAUGGGAUCUAACGAAUCAUGUUCUCCUAUUGUUAUCACAUUGUUAUGAACAGGCUGGAGCUCUUCUUGGGCACGGCUGGAACCAAGCGCUUGCUUAAUGAAGUUACGCUAGGCUACCGAAAAGAGGGACUGGCUGACUCCUGAGAGGACAGGGGGCACGGCAGUGUGCUGAGCACACUCAGACCUCCAGCAAGGGUCAGAGAUGAGAGUGAAAGAGAACACUGGGCUCUGGGAGGCCAGGCACCCUUCACCAGUGCCUCUCCCGGGCUCUGAUGUUGAAGGAGCUGUAGUCAGGCUGCUUACAUUCAGGAGGGGGAAGAGGGGUCCUGGGAGGUCCGUGGUGCAGAGAGAAGAUGUCGCACCUCAGACACAGAUCCGGGAAAGCCUGAUGUGACCUGGGUGAGACCCAUAACCAGGGACGUAAUUUUCUCCUUCUUCCCUUGUGUUCUCCAGCCCAGAGGUGGUCUUGGAUGCUUUCCACGACUCCCCUCUUCAUGCCUAAGCAUCCCCUGACCCUGAGACCACCCCCCCCCAAAUCUGGGGCCUCCACCUGGCUCCUUGACCCCCACUGCUUUUGUUUUUCAUCACUUGAUUCCUUCCCGCCAAU
rnacentral:lncRNA from 1 species